CGGAGGGAGCUAGCGUUGUUCGGAAUUACUGGGCGUAAAGCGCACGUAGGCGGCUUUGUAAGUAAGAGGUGAAAGCCUGGUGCUCAACACCAGAACUGCCUUUAGACUGCAUCGCUUGAAUCCAAGAGAGGUGAGUGGAAUUCCGAGUGUAGAGGUGAAAUUCGUAGAUAUUCGGAAGAACACCAGUGGCGAAGGCGGCUCACUGGCUUGGUAUUGACGCUGAGGUGCGAAAGCGUGGGAGCAAACAGGAUU
rnacentral:rRNA from 1 species